rnacentral:rRNA from 1 species
GCAGGUCAUCAACCUGCAUCGAUUACGUCCCUGCCCUUUGUACACACCGCCCGUCGCUUCUACCGAUUGGUCGUCCCGGUGAACAAUCGGGAGGCCGUGCUCAUGGUCAGCAAUGGCCGGAGCGCGGUUGAACUUUUGUAAAUUUGGACGACUAGAGGAAGAAGAAGUCGUAACAAGGUUUCCGUAGGUGAACCUGCGGAAGGAU